UGGACGAGGAGGACGAGGAUUUGUGUUCGGUAUAACCCGAGGUGGUUAGCGGUGGUUGUUGGAUGUGGUUGGCGGUGAUUGGAGGUGGUCGGAGGUGGACGAGGAG